UACGUAGGGGGCAAGCGUUGUUCGGAUUCAUUGGGCGUAAAGGGUGCGUAGGUGGCGUGGUAAGUCGGGUGUGAAAUUUCGGAGCUUAACUCCGAAACUGCAUUCGAUACUGCCGUGCUUGAGGACUGGAGAGGAGACUGGAAUUUACGGUGUAGCAGUGAAAUGCGUAGAGAUCGUAAGGAAGACCAGUGGCGAAGGCGGGUCUCUGGACAGUUCCUGACACUGAGGCACGAAGGCCAGGGGAGCAAACGGG
rnacentral:rRNA from 1 species